UGUGUGUGCUCUAUCACUAGAGGUUUUUAAGAAAAGAUUGAGCAGGAGGUUGGACUAGAAGAUGUCCCUUUCAAUUCUGUUAUUUUGUUCUCUACUUUUGGUCUUGUUCUUCCUUUCUGUUCUGUCCCCUCCCGGCCUCAGCCACGCGUGCUAGCUAAACGAACCAGUAAUUGAGUUCACGGCUGCUAUCAGUCCUGGCAGGGAAUCUGCAGCUGCCUGCCAAAGUCUCCCUUAUCUUGGGGUUGCCAGGCAACCAGGAAGUCAGCAAUCCAGGCCGAAUGUUCAGCUCAAUUCUCCACGAGUCAAAGAGUUCAGCUCACUUCUCCACGAGUCAAAUAGUUCAGCUCAAUUUUCCAUGAGUCAAAGAGUUCAGCUCACUUUUCCACGAGUCAAAUAGUUCAGCUCAAUUUUUGUUCGUCACAGAGCAGAAGAGCAGCCAGGGCUGCUUUUAUACUCUGUGGGGUUUGGCUUCGUGACACAGCACUCUCUAGGCCUGCCCCACCCCUUCCUUUGUUGCUGUUGCCUCUCGUAUCUCCGAAAUCUGGGAUCCAUCCAGGCCUGAUUGCCAUCAGCCGGGUCUGGAGGCAUGGCCUGGAGGGGAACAGUCAGGAGAUGGAGGCCUCGUUAUCUCAUCCACCUGGCCUGCCUCUGGCUCCUGCAACUGAGCCAGGGAAGCCGGUGCUCCUGAGGAUAUGUUCAUGUACACUGUAGAAGCUCCCAUCUACUUCCCUCCCCCAUGCAAGUCAAAGAAGAAAAAUGCCUUUCCUUCCAUAUGGCAAAUUAAAAGAUAUACAGUAGCCCAACUCAAGAAAUAAGCCACGAAAGACAAAGAGGUUUAUUCUGUAGCUGAAACGCUUCUGUUUCCAAAACCAUGACUCACCGCUGAUGUAUUGUGAUCCAAUGAAUCUUUGCACAGAGGACCUGAUCUUUGUCAGUGACAAAAGCAACACCGAAGAGGAGCAUUUAUUCAGAAUUAAUGAAUUCAAAUAAAUCAUCGGUUGACUUUAUUAAGUAAUGAGUUAUUUAAUUAAGAAUGGAGAUGGAUGGAGAUAGAUAGAACUCUUACGAGAGGCACGGUUUUCCAGACCCUUUUUACCUUCUCUUGCACCAAUCCUGCU